AAUUAUAGAAUGUGGGCGCUUCGAUCAUCACAGAGGUUAAACUUAUAUUCGGUUUAAUAAAAUUUCUGUUUGGCUUAGAAAUGCAUUAUCUAAAUAUCACUUAAAAUCACAGGAAUACUAAAUAUAAACGAUAACUUAAAAAAUUCCAAAAUUCUUAAUUUGUAAAAUUAUUUUCGAUUAGGCAGAUGGUGUAAAAACCGAAAUACUGUAACAUUUAAUUUGAUCGGCAAGAAACGUUCAACACUAAAUAAAGCAAAUCUGUACAAAUUUUGAAAAAGUACCUGAAGAAAAUUGUGUUCUCAUCUCAAACACGUUUGUGAGAAAAAUUCAAGAAAAUCGGAUUGAUAGAAGGGGAUAAAACAUCAUUAUCAAAAUUUUACCCUUGCCCUUCAAAACCGAACAAACAGAGAUAUUACAUUAAAUAAAACCUUGAAAAAAGUCAUGUUUGAAGAUUUCAUGGGAAUACUUAUCAAAAUUUUUCCAGCGAAUUUUGAGAAUGCAGUUGAGCAAUCGUGGAAACAAAAAUUAUUAAUGAGCAAUUAGAAAAACGAAUAGACAGAAUCACAGAAGUAUCUUUCUUAUGUUUUUACACAAUAAUGGUCUGCAGUUUCAAGGACAUCUAUCCACCAACGUACGCAGGAACAUUUGUGCCAAGUUUCAAGAGCAUCUCCACUGCCCCACCCAUAGGGACGCAGGGAUGUCUCUCAAAACUCUGUGGGUGUCCUUGGAAUCUUUCCCCUUUUUUCUUUCGAGUUUUCCUGGUCAUCUUCAGGUAUAUAAAGAGGGAGUUUGGGGAGAAAAAUUUAUAUUUGCUUUUCUCCUGCCGUGAGUUAGCAAGUGCUUAUUCAAGAUGAACUACUUGUUCGCCCUGUUGGUCUUGGUCGCCUUGUUGGUGGUUGCCAUGGCACAGUGGCCGUACUAUGGUGGUUACUAUCAUCACUCUGCUGUCUAUCCAUACGCCUACAACUAUGGCCUCUACAGCCCAACUUACUUAUGGAAGUGAGGAAGAAAAGGCAACGCCUGGACUGAUGACGAAUUGAUGAUCAUGUUUCGGAUUGGAUGACGCUUGGUUUACUUACUCUGCAUCUUCUGUUUCGCUGUCUUCUUGAAACCUCUUUGUCCCAACCUAUCUGUUGACUUUUUUUCGUAAAUAAAACUUAAAAAAAUUGCCCAAAAA